AGGUGCUGCCGACUGGCUUGGCAUGGGAACAAAACCUGGGCGCCAUUUCCCAGAAGCCCCUGGGGCACCCUGAGGCUCUUCUGCACGGAGGAGGCCAGUUGUGAGAAGAGACUCUCCUUUCGUCCUGCCCUUCCAUCAGGUCAGUCUCCUGAAUUCCUUGGACACAGACAUGUAGGCAAAACGAAAAUACAGUGUGCUUGCUUUCCACGACUCAGAGAUCUAAGGCGCCGUUAGUCGUCUGAACUCUUGCAGAAGACAGUGAUGCUGAAAUGAACUUUUUUUCCCCUACAACCUCUCCAAUGAUUUGCCAAGAUGAAGAGACUCAUGUAAACAGGCUAGGAGGAGUGGAUUCGAUGCCAUUUGAAUAUGGCCAGUUUCAUCCCAGAGCCCCGUCAGAGCUGUCAGAUGGCUGCCAGCCAGACCCGGGCUGCUUCCAGCUUGUCGAUCAGACUUGAGAAGUCACUAUGUAUAUUGUCGUGUCUUCCAAGAUGCAUUACCAGCUUCAAAGGGUUGACCCAGGCUCUUCAAAUAUCUGAUUACACUUCAUGCUUCAGAUGAAAAGUUGUGAAGAGGAAAGAUUAUCAGACUUUGUAAUUUUCAUCAGCCAUCCUCUCUGCUCAGCAGUUUCUCACAACCCUCAUUCUCUCUCUCCUCGCCCUCUGCCUCCCGUGAGUUCCUCUCGUGCCCAGUGAGUUCCUCUCCCAGUUGUGGGUCAUACUAGCCUCUCCCCUGGAACCUAUCACGGGCAGCAGCCCAAGGAGGAUACCAAGUCAGCAUGUGGCUCGAGGCUGAAUGAAAGUUGCUGUCUGGCUCGGGCUGGGAUCCCUUCUGUGUCAGCUGGACACAACAGAGUCUGGGACCCCAGGCUAACAUGACACUCCCUCUCUGUGAGGCCCCCGCUUCUUAGGACACCAACUCCUCCAAAAUUCAUCCUUCCCUGAAAUGGGCUGACAGUGCAGGCAAAACUAAAUGAUCAGAGACCCGAGGCACAGAGACUGGGACAUGUAACCACAGUGGGGUCCUAAAUCAGAGUCUCCCACCAACUGCUCGAGAAAAACAAAAGGUUCUGUGAAACCCAGGCCAUGCUUCGUUCACACAGCCUCAUGCUUAUUUUCAUUUUGGGAAUAUAAAUUGCCACCUUGGAGAUCUCAUUUGCAAGAUGGGUCCCCAAGUGAUUUUCAUUUACGACAUUACUUGCAGGUAGCCUCUGAGCUACCAUGUGGGUGGUGGCCUCAGGACCAACUACUAAAACACAGCAGGAAACAUUCUGGAGGUAAUGACCAACGGGUUUCCUCCCAGGAGCUCCCUGCUGCCCCCACGCCCCACGCUCGAUCCCAA